UAGCUGUGAUGAAAUUUGUGUCAAAUGUGUUGACGGGUUCAUCACUAUCGUUUAACUUCGGUUGCGAAAACUGGCACAUCUGAGCUU
rnacentral:snoRNA from 14 species